CUUGCUAAAAUUCAACCUGAGCAAUGGAGGUAUAUGGCAAAUCCAUGGUAUCAGGUCCUGCCAACGUUAUUUAUCUGUCCACUAUUCUGGGCCGGGAUGGGCCAAUUCCUGUCCACAAAUGCGAUUGGAAAUGUGAAAAUGAACACGUGUGUGGAAACAUGUACCUCUGCAAACUAACUGGUCUCACUCACAUCUGUGACAAGAACUGUAACCAGAGAAUUUUGUAUGAUAACCAUAGUUCCCUUUGCCGAGCAAGCGGUCAAAUUUCCCCCCUUUCGCCAGCUGGGGAACCGUCAGCAUCAAUCUUCCUGCG
rnacentral:misc_RNA from 1 species